rnacentral:rRNA from 1 species
AGUCGAGGGGUAGAGGGGUGCUUGCGUCCCUUGAGACCGGCGCACGGGGGCCGAAUGCGUAUGCAACCCAGCUAUUGCAGGGCAAUAACCCAUGGGAACUUGGAUUGAUGCCCGAUAAUCCAUAUUGAGAGCAUUCGAUAUAUGGUAAAGAUUUAUCCGGAAUGGAUGGGCGUGCCUCCCAUUAGCUAGGUGGUAUGGGAACGGCAUACCAAAGCAACGAUGGGUAAGGGCCCUGAAAGGGGGAUCCCCCACACUGGUACUGAAACACCGACCAGACUCCUACGGGAGGCAACAGUGAGGAAUAUUGGACAAUGGGCGGGAGCCUGAUCCAGCCAUGCCGCGUGCAGGAAGACUGCCCUAUGGGUUGUAAACUGCUUUUUUACGGGAAGAAACACCCCCACGUGUGGGGGCUUGACGGUACCAUACGAAUAAUGACCGGCUAACUCCGUGCCAGCACCCGCGGUAAUACCGAGGGUCCGAGCGUUAUCCGGAAUCAUUGGGUUUAAAGGGUCCGUACGCGGGCGUCUAAGUCAAUGGUGAAAUCCCGCAGCUCAACUGUGGAAUUGCCAUUGAUACUGGUCGCCUUGAA